UACGGAGGGUGCGAGCGUUGUCCGGAAUCACUGGGCGUAAAGGGCGCGUAGGCGGCAGGCCAAGCGUGCGGUGAAAGUCCGGGGCUCAACCCCGGAUCUGCCGUGCGGACUGGUUUGCUAGAGCACUGUAGAGGCGAGUGGAAUUCCGGGUGUAGCGGUGGAAUGCGUAGAGAUCCGGAAGAACACCGGAGGCGAAGGCGGCUGGCUGGGCCUGAUCUGACGCUGAGGUGCGAAAGCGUGGGGAGCGAACAGG
rnacentral:rRNA from 1 species